UAGUGAUCAGAAGUGAGAAUGUUGACAUGAGUAGCGACAAACAGGGUGAGAGACCCUGUCGCCGAAAGUCCAAGGGUUCCUGCUUAAAGCUAAUCUGAGCAGGGUAAGCCGGCCCCUAAGGCGAGGCCGAAAGGCGUAGUCGGUGGGAACCAGGUUAAUAUUCCUGGGCCAGGAGAUGGUGACGGAUCGCAGAGGUAGUUCUUCCUUAUCGGAUUGGAAGGGCUGCUGAGCGGUUCCUGGAAAUAGCCCUCCACAAGACCGUACCCUAAACCGACACAGGUGGACUGGUAGAGAAUACCAAGGCGCUUGAGAGAACCACAUUUAAGGAACUCGGCAAAAUACCUCCGUAAGUUCGCGAGAAGGAGGCCCCGUUUGUACGCAAGUAUGGGCGGGGGGCACAAACCAGGGGGUGGCGACUGUUUACUAAAAACACAGGGCUCUGCGAAGCCGUAAGGCGACGUAUAGGGUCUGACGCCUGCCCGGUGCCGGAAGGUUAAAAGGAGAUGUGCAAGCAUUGAAUUGAAGCCCCGGUAAACGGCGGCCGUAACCAUAACGGUCCUAAGGUAGCGAAAUUCCUUGUCGGGUAAGUUCCGACCUGCACGAAUGGCGUAACGACUUCCCCGCUGUCUCAAAUGUGGACUCAGCGAAAUUGAAUUGUCUGUGAAGAUGCAGACUUCCCGCGGUUAGACGGAAAGACCCCAUGCACCUUUACUAUAGCUUCGCACUGGCAUCAGGAUUGUGAUGUGCAGGAUAGGUGGUAGGCAUUGAAACCGGGACGCCAGUUCCGGUGGAGCCAUCCUUGAGAUACCACCCUUCGCACUCUUGAUGUCUAACCGCGGCCCGUUAUCCGGGUCCGGGACCCUGCGUGGUGGGUAGUUUGACUGGGGCGGUCGCCUCCCAAAAAGUAACGGAGGCGCGCGAAGGUUGGCUCAGAGCGGUCGGAAAUCGCUCGUUGAGUGCAAUGGCAGAAGCCAGCCUGACUGCAAGACUGACAAGUCGAGCAGAGACGAAAGUCGGCCAUAGUGAUCCGGUGGUCCCGAGUGGAAGGGCCAUCGCUCAACGGAUAAAAGGUACGCUGGGGAUAACAGGCUGAUGAUGCCCAAGAGUCCAUAUCGACGGCAUCGUUUGGCACCUCGAUGUCGGCUCAUCUCAUCCUGGGGCUGGAGCAGGUCCCAAGGGUACGGCUGUUCGCCGUUUAAAGAGGUACGUGAGCUGGGUUUAGAACGUCGUGAGACAGUUCGGUCCCUAUCUGCCGUGGGUGUAGGAUACUUGAGAGGAGUUGCCCCUAGUACGAGAGGACCGGGGUGAACGUUCCACUGGUGGACCAGUUGUCGUGCCAACGGCAGUGCUGGGUAGCUAUGAACGGACAGGAUAAACGCUGAAGGCAUCUAAGCGUGAAGCCCCCCUCAAAACAAGGUAUCCCUUGAGAGCCGUGGAAGACCACCACGUCGAUAGGCCGGAGAUGUAAGUGCAGCAAUGCAUUCAGUUGACCGGUACUAAUGGCUCG
rnacentral:rRNA from 1 species